rnacentral:pre_miRNA from 1 species
AUUUGAUGUUGUGCGUGUGUGUGUGUGUGUGUGUGUGUGUGUGUGUGUACUACGUUACGUAUGCUCAUGCCUACCAUACUCCACACACACACACACACACACACACACACACNNNNN